ACAAUAUUACUAUGCACGACUUCUGUUGAUUUUAUUCUUUCUUCCUGUUACAGAGUUGUUAAUGGACCCCUUGAAAGCAUUUUUUCUGAUCUUGCUUUAGAUACAUUAGCUGAAGUGUGUAGGUGGAACUCUGUGCAUAAGUAGUUUGGAGGGGAUGUGAUAGGGAAUGAUUUUGUGGGCAAAGGCAGUUUUCUUAUGCUUUUUAUUUGUAUUUUGAAUGUGUAAAAUUUAAUAUUUUGGUUUUAUAAAGUUUUACGAGAUUGAAACAGGUUUGGGCUAA